rnacentral:rRNA from 1 species
AUUGAACGCUGGCGGUAUGCUUAACACAUGCAAGUCGAACGGUAGCAGGCCUUCGGGCGCUGACGAGUGGCGGACGGGUGAGUAACGCGUAGGAAUCUGCCUGGUAGUGGGGGAUAACGUGGGGAAACGCACGCUAAUACCGCAUACGCCCUACGGGGGAAAGCGGGGGAUCUUCGGACCUCGCGCUAUCAGAUGAGCCUGCGUUGGAUUAGCUAGUUGGUGGGGUAAAGGCCUACCAAGGCGACGAUCCAUAGCUGGUCUGAGAGGACGAUCAGCCACACUGGGACUGAGACACGGCCCAGACUCCUACGGGAGGCAGCAGUGGGGAAUAUUGGACAAUGGGCGAAAGCCUGAUCCAGCAAUACCGCGUGUGUGAAGAAGGCCUGAGGGUUGUAAAGCACUUUCAAUUGGGAGGAAAACCUACCGGCCAAUACCCGGUAGCUUGACAUUACCUUUAGAAGAAGCACCGGCUAACUCCGUG